UACGUAGGGGGCUAGCGUUGUCCGGAUUUAUUGGGCGUAAAGAGCUCGUAGGCGGCUUGUUGCGUCGUCCGUGAAAACCCGCAGCUCAACUGCGGGCUUGCGGACGAUACGGGCAGGCUGGAGUUCGGUAGGGGAGACUGGAAUUCCUGGUGUAGCGGUGAAAUGCGCAGAUAUCAGGAGGAACACCGAUGGCGAAGGCAGGUCUCUGGGCCAUAACUGACGCUGAGAAGCGAAAGCAUGGGGAGCGAACAGG
rnacentral:rRNA from 1 species